ensembl:snoRNA
AUCCUUUUGUAGUUUAUAAGCGUGAUGAUUGGGUUUUCAUGCACAUGCAUGAGACGUGCCUCCCACAAAUCGUGUUAUGACAUUGGCACAUUACCCGUCUGACC